UUUUUUCGGAGCUGGGGACUGAACCCAGGGCCUCUAACACUGAGCUAAAUCCCCAACCCAGUAGUUAAGUUUUUAAAAGACCAAAUUCUCCACCGAAUGUCAAAUAGUUCUACCAUGAUUAGAAAAGUGACUCAAAUGUGGGUUUUAUUGGGGGUGGUGUUUCUAUUAUGGGGACAUUACCUGGCUUGUAGUCCAGGCCGGCCUCCAUCUAACUUGCAUUCUGCCUCUAGUUAUACACUUAAGCCUCCAGGGAUUAAUGGUGUGUGCCACCAAGUCCGGCUUGACCCAGAACUUGAAUGCUGUGUGGCAGCUGAUAAUGGGUUCUCAGCAUUAAUGAGCCAUGGUCCUAAGUACAGUGUCUAUAGAAUGCCACCAAUUCCAUAGGGUUUCUAGGCUGGAUAGUAUAGAUCUUUUGUCAGAACUUGUUUUCAGUUGAACAUUAGACCCUAGGUUAGGAUCUGACUAGAGGAAUUCUCCACAGUUUGAACAGUAUUACAGAUAUAAAUACAGUAAAAUAUGCACUUUUUAUUUCCAUUCUCAAGCUGGACAACAAAUGAUUGAUUGUAUAAUUUGAGUAGACUAAAGAUGUUAAAAUUUCUCAGUUCAGUUUUUUUUUUUAUAAAAUGUAGGAAAAGAAACUUCAGUUACUCAUUUUCUUGAUUGUGCCUGUUGUCUUACAAACUAAAAGAUCAGUGCUUUAACUAAAAUUUUAUAUUAUUCCUCCCCCCUCCCCCAUUUUACCUGUCAAUUUAUGCCAAGACAGUAUAAGAAGUUACAAGGGUAAAUAUCUAUAGCGUGGUCAUUUUAGUCAGACAGCAAGUUGCUGCAAAUCAUUCAAAACCAACCAACUUCAGAUGCAAAACAAGGAUCAGAAAACCUGACUGGACAGUGGGUUUAAGCCAUUCAGUGAAUCAUUGUAACUUCACUAGCCAUCGGUACAGCAGAUAUUGUCACACAGACCAGUUCUCAUUUAGUCUCACAAGAUAGAGACCUGGCACUUAACAGUUCCUCAUAUUCUUCGCCUAGUCUGUCACAUAUUCUUGAUUCCUUUGCCACAUCAUGUCCUGUCCAGAAAUAUGGUAGUCUAGGUGAUUCUUUCCCUCCUGUCCUGUGUAGCCCAUGUACUGAUACCCUAUGAAGCUAUUGCCAGUAAGUGACCUCCAAGACUAUGGUGAGGUCAUUUUUCUAAAUGUCAGAGGCAGUCCUGCUUCUGAAUUAAUGCCAGCUGCACCUUCUCUAUGUCAGUUAUAUUCCUUUCAUGGUCAUUUGCCUUACUUCUAGUUGAGCAAGUUUUGGCUCACUAAGUUUAUCAAUAAAUUCCCCCAUAGAGUUACUAUAAUUUUUAAUCCUGUAAUCAACCUUACUACUGAUAUGGUAGAAAAGGUCUCUGGAUUAAUUACAUUUAUUUCUUUGGAUAGAAAAUAUAAGAUAAGCCCAGGUCUAAGCAUAUAAGGUCUUGUUACACUAGUUUUAGGAUAAAGGAAAGGGAAGAAUUCCUCAGGGAUCUGCUUUUUCUUCAUAUUCAAGAAGGGGUAGUAGAGAAGCAAUACACCUGGCCCUAUAAGAUGGCUGUGUUCUUCAGACACUGGUGGCAGACAGUACCACUCACAGCAGCAUAGUCAGUCAGGUUGGCAGCCAUCUUCUUAGUUUUACAUUGUCAUCUUAUAUUCAAGUAGACCUUAAAAAAAUGAUUUUCUGUUUUCAGUUUGUGUGUGUGUGUGUGUGUGUGUGUGUGUGUGUGUGUGUGUGUGUGUGUGAAUGCAGAUUCCUCUGGAGCCGCUGGAGCUAGAGUUAACAGCAGUUGUGAGCAGCUUUCUGAGUACUGGGAACCCAACUGCGAUCCCUUUAAAGGGCAGUAGAUAUUUUACUCACUCUACCAGCUCCAGUAGACUUUUUGAGAUGAACGUUUUUAAGUAAAAGUCAAUUUUACUUAUUUUUGCAUGUGUGGCCUCACAUUUGUGUGUGUGUGUGUGUGUGUGUGUGUGUGUGUGUGUGAGUGAUCUGCGAAGUUGGAGACAGUUGAUCACCAGAGCAAGCUGGCUACUUAGCCCAGGUACAGGUGAGAUCUUGGUUCAAUUGGAGAGGUCUUCCUCAGUGAGAGAGCAAUGGAAGAGUUCGAGUGUCAUCCUCCAGCCUCACAUGUGUGAACUUGAAUACACCUACUCAUAAUCUCACAUAUAACACUGUAAAAUAGAUGCACUGUGAUGUAAUGAACAUGAGGGUUAAAAACAAAGCAUUCAGAUUCUGCACUGAGCAGCUGUGUAAUCUUGUCCAAAUAGCCAUAAAUGAGGGAAAUAGCCACGUGUAUAAUUUUUUUACAGCUCCUAUAGUCUGUAAUUCUAAUAUAGGAGACCCUACAAUUUAUGAAACAGAGCCCUUAGGUUCAAUUGUUCCUUAGCUCCUCCAAAGUGGUUGCUAUCCUUUGUUUCUUGCUACUCCUUGGUGUGAGCUGUGGUCUAGUUGUGAUUUUUUUCUUUACCCAAUUAAUGUCCUCAAUGUCAGAAUUUCUUAGUAUGUAUACUGCUAUAAUUAUUCAUGUUUUACCAUAAACAGAUUAUUUUAACAUAUCAUUUUAUUGUAAGUAAUCUCAAGUUGAGGUUUUUUAUUUAAGUGAAAUUUCUUUCUCAUGCAAUAUAUUCUGGUCAGUUUCCCUUCCCACAACUCCUCUUAGAUCCUUCCUAUCCAGCAAACUCCACAUCAGAAAACAAACAGGCAAAGAACAACAAAAACAGGGCAGAAUGUAGGAAAAAACAGAACACGUGGACACACAUAGAACAGAACUCAAAAACACAAAAUUGGAAACUACAAUGUACAUGGUGUUGGUUUUCCUCCCAAUGCUUACAGUGGGAAGAACAGUUUCAUUUUAUCCCUGGCCUUUGCUACUCAGAGAUAACCACUUUCAAGUCUUCCGCUGUCCUGCAGCAUUUGCCUCUACAUCACCAGAUACCACGAUCCUUAUACUGUUCUCUGAUAUUUCUGCCCUAGAUGGUACCUGUUCCUCUACGAUGGACUAUGGAGAUUAAACCAGUUCCUGUACCUUUUCCCUAAAUGCACACCUCCCUUCACCCUCAUACAGAAGGGCUCAC
rnacentral:lncRNA from 1 species